UGAGUACGAGCUGCUACGGCAGCGAAGUGGGUGACGUCAAGCUUCCAAGAAAAGCCCUACACCCGUUAAGGCAUGAUGGCCUGUACCCGAAACCGACACAGGUGGGGUGGUAGAGAAUACCGAGGGGCGCGAGGUAACUCUCUCUAAGGAACUCGGCAAAAUGGCCCCGUAACUUCGGGAGAAGGGGUGCCACCGCAAGGUGGUCGCAGUGAAGAGGCCCAGGCGACUGUUUACCAAAAACACAGGUCUCCGCUAAGUCGCAAGACGAUGUAUGGGGGCUGACGCCUGCCCAGUGCCGGAAGGUUAAGGAAGCUGGUCAGCGCAAGCGAAGCUGGCGACUGAAGCCCCGGUGAACGGCGGCCGUAACUAUAACGGUCCUAAGGUAGCGAAAUUCCUUGUCGGGUAAGUUCCGACCCGCACGAAAGGCGUAACGAUCUGGGCGCUGUCUCGGAGAGAGGCUCGGCAAAAUAGAAUUGUCUGUGAAGAUGCGGACUACGUGCACCCGGACAGAAAGACCCUAUGAAGCUUUACUGUAGCUUGGUAUUGUGCCCGGGCUCUGAAUGCGCAGGAUAGGUGGGAGGCUUUGAUCCAUUGCUUGUGGGUGAUGGUGAGCCAACGGUGAGAUACCACUCUUUCAGAGCUAGGGUUCUAACGAUCACCCGUUAUCCGGGGACCGGACAGUAUCAGGUGGGCAGUUAGACUGGGGCGGUCGCCUCCUAAAAGGUAACGGAGGCGCGCAAAGGUUCCCUCAGGCUGGUUGGAAAUCAGCCGAUGAGUGUAAAGGCAGAAGGGAGCUUGACUGUGAGACCUACAAGUCGAACAGGGACGAAAGUCGGCCUUAGUGAUCCGACGGUUCUGAGUGGAAGGGCCGUCGCUCAACGGAUAAAAGUUACUCUAAGGAUAACAGGCUGAUCUCCCCCAAGAGUUCACAUCGACGGGGAGGUUUGGCACCUCGAUGUCGGCUCAUCGCAACCUGGGGCUGAAGUCGGUCCCAAGGGUUGGGCUGUUCGCCCAUUAAAGCGGUACGCGAGCUGGGUUCAGAACGUCGUGAGACAGUUCGGUCCAUAUCCGGUGCAUGCGCAGGAAUAUUGAGAGGAUUUCUCCCUAGUACGAGAGGACCGGGAGGAACGCACCUCUGGUGUACCAGUUAUCGUGCCAACGGUAAAUGCUGGGUAGCCAUGUGCGGAGUGGAUAACCGCUGAAAGCAUCUAAGUGGGAAGCCCACCUCAAGAUGAGUAUUCCCAUGGCGUUAGCCAGUAAGGUCACGGGCAGAACACCCGUUGAUAGGCUCUACGUGGAAGCCGGGUAACCGGUGAAGCGGAGGAGUACUAAUAGACCGAGGGCUUGACCAU
rnacentral:rRNA from 1 species